ensembl:lncRNA
UCUUUGAUGCUGAAGAUCAUGUUGAAAAUUGCAGUUGCAAUUACAGGAUCUGAAGGUAUUACUGGUGAAGUGGUGUUUGUUGAAGUGGCGUUUGUAGACGUGGCGUUUGUUGAAGUGGCGUUUGUUGACGUGGCGUUUGUUGACGUGGCGUUUGUUGACGUGGCGUUUGUAGACGUGGCGUUUGUUGAAGUGGCGUUUGUUGACGUGGCGUUUGUUGACGUGGCGUUUGUAGACGUGGCGUUUGUUGAAGUGGCGUUUGUUGAAGUGGCGUUUGUUGAAGUGGCGUUUGUUGAAGUGGCGUUUGUAGACGUGGCGUUUGUUGACGUGGCGUUUGUUGAAGUGGCGUUUGUUGACGUGGCGUUUGUAGACGUGGCGUUUGUUGAAGUGGCGUUUGUUGACGUGGCGUUUGUUGAAGUGGCGUUUGUUGAAGUGGCGUUUGUUGAAGUGGCGUUUGUUGACGUGGCGUUUGUUGAAGUGGCGUUUGUUGAAGUGGCGUUUGUUGAAGUGGCGUUUGUUGACGUGGCGUUUGUAGACGUGGCGUUUGUUGACGUGGCGUUUGUUGAAGUGGCGUUUGUAGACGUGGCGUUUGUUGAAGCGUUUGUUGAAGUGGCGUUUGUUGACGUGGCGUUUGUUGACGUGGCGUUUGUAGACGUGGCGUUUGUUGAAGUGGCGUUUGUUGACGUGGCGUUUGUUGACGUGGCGUUUGUAGACGUGGCGUUUGUUGAAGUGGGCGUUUGUUGAAGUGGCGUUUGUUGAAGUGCGUUUGUUGACGUGGCGUUUGUAGACGUGGCGUUUGUUGAAGUGGCGUUUGUUGACGUGGCGUUUGUUGACGUGGCGUUGGUUGAAGUGGCGUUUGUUGACGUGGCGUUUGUUGAAGUGGCGUUUGUUGAAGUGGCGUUUGUUGACGUGGCGUUGUAGACGUGGCGUUUGUUGAAGUGGCGUUUGUUGAAGUGGCGUUUGUUGACGUGGCGUUUGUUGACGUGGCGUUUGUUGAAGUGGCGUUUGUUGAAGUGGCGUUUGUUGACGUGGCGUUUGUUGACGUGGCGUUGGUUGAAGUGGCGUUUGUUGACGUGGCGUUUGUUGAAGUGGCGUUUGUUUGAAGUGGCGUUUGUUGACGUGGCGUUGGUUGAAGUGGCGUUUGUUGACGUGGCGUUUGUUGAAGUGGCGUUUGUUGAAGUGGCGUUUGUUGACGUGGCGUUUGUUGACGUGGCGUUUGUUGAAGUGGCGUUUGUUGAAGUGGCGUUUGUUGACGUGGCGUUUGUAGACGUGGCGUUUGUUGAAGUGGCGUUUGUUGAAGUGGCGUUUGUUGAAGUGGCGUUUGUUGACGUGGCGUUUGUUGACGUGGCGUUUGUUGAAUGGCGUUGGUUGACGUGGCGUUGGUUGAAGUGGCGUUUGUUGAAGUGGCGUUUGUUGACGUGGCGUUUGUUGACGUGGCGUUUGUAGACGUGGCGUUUGUUGACGUGGCGUUUGUUGACGUGGCGUUUGUUGAAGUGGCGUUUGUAGACGUGGCGUUUGUUGAAGUGGCGUUUGUUGACGUGGCGUUUGUUGACGUGGCGUUUGUAGACGUGGCGUUUGUUGACGUCGCGUUUGUAGACGUGGCGUUUGUUGACGUGGCGUUUGUUGACGUGGCGUUUGUAGACGUGGCGUUUGUUGAAGUGGCGUUUGUUGACGUGGCGUUUGUUGAAGUGGCGUUUGUUGACGUGGCGUUUGUUGACGUGGCGUUUGUUGACGUGGCGUUUGUUGAAGUGGCGUUUGUUGACGUGGCGUUUGUUGAAGUGGCGUUUGUUGACGUGGCGUUGGUUGAAGUGGCGUUUGUUGAAGUGGCGUUUGUUGACGUGGCGUUUGUAGACGUGGCGUUGUUGAAGUGGCGUUUGUUGAAG